rnacentral:rRNA from 1 species
AUUGAACGCUGGCGGUAGGCCUAACACAUGCAAGUCGAACGGCUGAAGGGAGCUUGCUUCUGGUUACAGCGGCGGACGGGCGGGUAAUGCCUAGGAACCUCCGUGGCUGCGGGGGAGUACGGCCGGACACGGGCGCUAAUACGCCAAUAGCGCAGACGGCGUACGGGUGGGAGCUGCGGACCUUCCGCUCUUAGACGAGUCUAUGUCGGAUUAGCUAGUUGGUGGGGUAAAGGCCUACCAAGGCGACGAUCCGUAGCUGGUCUGAGAGGAUGAUCAGCCACACUGGAACUGAGACACGGUCCAGACUCCUACGGGAGGCAGCAGUGGGGAAUAUUGGACAAUGGGCGCAAGCCUGAUCCAGCCAUGCCGCGUGUGUGAAGAAGGUCUUCGGGUUGUAAAGCACUUUAGGUUGGAAAGAAAGGCAGUAGGUUAAUACCUUGCUGUUUUGACGGUACCAACAGAAUAAGCACCGGCUAACUUCGUG